rnacentral:rRNA from 1 species
GAUGAACGCUGGCGGCGUGCCUAAUACAUGCAAGUCGAGCGAACAGACGAGGAGCUUGCUCCUCUGACGUUAGCGGCGGACGGGUGAGUAACACGUGGAUAACCUACCUAUAAGACUGGGAUAACUUCGGGAAACCGGAGCUAAUACCGGAUAAUAUAUUGAACCGCAUGGUUCAAUAGUGAAAGACGGUUUUGCUGUCACUUAUAGAUGGAUCCGCGCCGCAUGAGCUAGUUGGUAAGGUAACGGCUUACCAAGGCGACGAUGCGUAGCCGACCUGAGAGGGUGAUCGGCCACACUGGAACUGAGAAACGGUCCAGACUCCUACGGGGGGCAGCAGUAGGGAAUCUUCCGCAAUGGGCGAAAGCCGGACGGAGCAACGCCGCGUGAGUGAUGAAGGUCUUCGGAUCGUAAAACUCUGUUAUUAGGGAAGACCAAAUGUGUAAGUAACUAUGAACGUCUUGACGGUACCUAAUCAGAAAGCCACGGCUAACUACGUG